AGGGACGUGCCCCGGCCGGCGAGAGCCUACACACAGCCCCCGAGAGCGAGCAGGCGGACUGCGCGCCCCGCAAUUCUCGGGGAAGGAAGUAAGGAAACUGCUACUCGUGCUCUGCGUGCAUCCCGCGGAGGCUCCUGCGAGGUCCUAGAGCGGGCUGUGUGCUCAAGCCCUCUCCUGGCGACGCCUGCCCUGACAACUUCUAAAUGGCCAGCCCGCCCCUGGGGAAAAGCAGAGGAAUCCUCUUUGGACUCUUGCACCUCAAAGGAAUGGCUAAGAUCAUCCACGGAGAAUGCCAAGUGAAAAGACCACUGAAAGAAACCAGGGGACAAUAACAUUCAAGGCACAGGCAGACGAAAAGAUGCUUCAGAAGAAAACUGAGGAGAAGCUGCUCUAAAGGAAAGAGAAGACAGAAGAGGUAGGCACCACAGCAAUCACUGAGAAGAAUCCCCAAAACAAGUAGCAGUCAAACGCCAGAUCCAUCACAGGACAAGCAAGGUAAUUUAAGGGUAUCCUCUGACUUAGCAGUAAGGAGAUGGCAAGAAUGGUUUCAGUGGGCUAGUUGAAGAAUAAAGAAGUAGAAACAAAGUAUCACAUUUUCUAAAAUAGAAUUGGAAAGGCGUGUAGGGAGACCAGCUAUAAGGGAGUAGAGAAUGCAAAAGAAGAGAGGAGCUGUUUCUGAAGCAGGAUGGAAGGAGACAGAUGCCAAGGAAAGGAAAGAAAAAAGAGACUGGGGGAGGGAGUGGCAGGGAACUGACAGCAUAGACAGCCGCUGCCUCAUGUUUAACAAAGAAUUUUGCUCAGAGCAGAGGGAGAGGAGGAAAGUGAAGACAAGAGAGAGGUGAAAGCCUGAAAAGUACAAACAUUAAGAAAUGACUGAAGGACUUUGAGCAGUCCAGGAAACUGAUGAAGAGGAGACCUUGACUUUAUAAAGCUCUAAGCCCACAGGAGGGCAUGGUUUCUCUCCAAAGAUUAUCAGCAUCUCAUCCAAAGUAGCAAUACCUUCCAGUUGGUUCCAAUAGAAGGUCCAAAUCUCUCCAUUACACCACAAACUGAGUAUCACUAUCCUAAUCAUACAUCUGGAUUCUAGCUCUUUAGCAGUCAACUCAGGAGACUUACCAUGGGACCACAGAAUAUUUUAUAAGUGAGCUUAAGCUAGUUUUAAAUAGGCAAGUUCCUACCUUGGAAAACCUGGUUUGACUAAUAUCAAAGGGAGCUCCAUAAUACACAGAACAAGAAGGAGACCAACGACAGCACUGUGUGACAUUUUAGCCACUUGUGAUACCACUCUCUGGGUAAGGAAAACUAUAGAAACAAUAACUCAUGAAGCCAA